GGCGACGUGUUGAAUUGGUCGAUCUCAUAACUAACUCACUGAGUCGUCUCUUCUGCUAAAAAGGGUUAAUUCUGGAUGAUCAGUGUAAGCAGACUCGGAAAAUGGGGGUGAGUUUGGAGGGAGAGAAGGUGAUAUUGGUACCCUACAUGAAAGAACACGUCCCCAAGUAUCAUCAAUGGAUGCAAGAUCCAGCCCUCCUCCAAGCCACUGGGUCGGAGCCCCUAACCCUAGACGAGGAGUAUCAGAUGCAAGUCUCCUGGACCCAAGACCCCAACAAGCAGACUUUUAUAGUGUUGGAUAAGGAAUUCGUUGUCGGAGACUUCAUCCAUGGACAACCCCAUUUAGAAGUUAUGCCCUUUCCAGCCAUGGUCGGUGAUGUGAACAUCUACAUGAAUGACUUGGACGAUACCCAAAUGGCGGAGAUUGAAAUAAUGAUUGCUGAACCCAAAAGUCGUGGCAAAGGACUUGGAAAGGAAUCAGUUCUGAUGAUGAUAGCGUUUGCAGUUGAGAAGUUGGGCAUCCACAUCUUCCGUGCGAAAAUUGGAGACUCAAAUGAAGCUUCUCUUAAUAUGUUCCGAAAAUUGGGCUUUAAGGAUGCUUCUUAUAGUGAAAUCUUCCAGGAGGUUGUCCAUCGUGACGAUUUGACUUGAGGAACCUAUUAAACUUACAUGCUGGAGUGAUGAUGGAAGCACGGGACAAUAUAUAUAUAUAUAUAUAUAUAUAUAUAUAUAUAUAUACUAAUAUGCAAGUCAUACCAACGGGCCAGUGGCCUAGCGAUAUCAGGCCCUUACUUCCCAAAGGAAGGUGACAUUGGAGCUACUAAUAACAAAUCCAAUGUGUGAGGAGCUGCGGCAACUAAAACCUAAUAUGGUUUCACAUUAAUAGCCCCUCUAUUUUUGUAUGAUUGAAGCUGUAAUAUAUACUUCAAAAGUACUCUUUCUUGAGUUUUCCCUCAUUUGCAGUGUGAAGCUAUGAAUGAGGUUGUUUUUUUGAAGUUUGAACUGUGAGAAUGUUCACAUUUGGUCAUCUUAUUAGACAAUACUUCACCCAGGACUUGAAUCUAAAUUCUAAAGCUUAUAUAUUUGAAUCCCCUAUAUAAUAAAGGUCAUUUUUCUUUAA